rnacentral:rRNA from 1 species
UGCAACCCGACUCCACGAAGUUGGAUUCGCUAGUAAUCGCGCAUCAGCCAUGGCGCGGUGGAUACGUUCCCGGGCCUUGUACACACCGCCCGUCAAGCCAUGGGAGCCGGGGGCGCCUGAAGUCCGGGACCGCGAGGACCGGCCUAGGGCGAAACUGGUGACUGGGGCUAAGUCGUAACAAGGUAUC